AUCAAUUUAGCAAAAAUUAUGCAACUGAUUUAGGAUCAGUAAUAUGUAAGUGAAAGUCUUAUAUUUGAUA
rnacentral:tRNA from 1 species